CGGGAGAGCUGCAGCUCUGUGAGCAUUAUGAACAUUGUGAACAGCAACCGUGUGAGUCAAUAAAGUAUGCUGCAAAGCAUGGAUUUGCACCCGGGUCUGCCGUGGUCGUUUACAGUCCACUCCCCACCUGAUGCGACAGAUGACUGCCCCUUCCUGAGGCUGGUUCUGCUAGAGUGAUGUCACUGCAUUCAGCUGGACUGUUUGAUGAUUGCUCUCCGUGACCUGUCCAUCAAGGUAUGGAUUUUAAACUGGUGGCCACAUAGGACCCUUUUAAGCCAUAAAGUCCUUGUUUUACCGCUCUGGAUUAAGGAUGCUAAUGUCUUCCUCAGUGGAUGGUACCAUCUGCCGCUGGGAUCUGGAUAAGUGGGCUGCACUUCUGGACCAUCAGAAGACUGUACACCAUCCACUCAGAGGUGAUGAAGGCUCCCCAUUGAGACAAAUUAAAGUCCCGUCAGUUGCUGCUCCUUACCCUAUGCAAGUCCUUCUGCAUCAAGGGGGGACAGAAAUAUCACUCUGGUGGCUGCAGAAACUGGAGCAGUGUUGACCUCUUUCAAGGCAAGGAACAGGAUUUUGUGUGAUGACUACUGCCUGCACGAAGAGAUUCUGUUGGCCUUGACUGAGGCAGUCACGGUGCUUCAAGCCAACACACUAAGUAAUCAAAUCACUUGAUGGAGGAAUGGAAAGGCCAGGGACCCUCGAAGGACAUUGAAAGCUUGAUAGAAAAUGAUGAUGCAGGUGAGGACUUGACAUUGGUGGUCUGGAGGGUUAAUCCCUACAUCCAGAAGUGUCUCACUCGACAACUAAGCACUACAGCCAGCCUCUAGCCCACCUGGCAGCACUGAAGUCCCAACUGGCUGCAACCUUUCAAGAGCCCAAUGACAGCUCCUACGGCUUAAAGCAUGUCAGUCUGUUGACUCAAAGCCAAACAGAUUUUAAGCCUGAAGAAGGAGAUUCAGACCACUUAACAGGACUGUGCUUCCCCAUCUGAAGGUGUUUGUUUCCAGCAGUCUGGAUAAGAAGAGGCAAAUGUGGGAUGAAGAGAAUCGCCUCCUCAGGACGCUCCAGCUGAAUGCGGUGCCUGAACGCUUGGCGUACAGCGUGUUUGGAGGAGAUGUGUUCCUGGGCAUCAGAGAGGGCCUGUACGUGAUGAGCUGUACAAAGUUCCUGCCACCCAACUACCAGCAAACAGAAGACAGUAAUGCGCGUGCUGACAGAACUGAACGUGGAGGUCUAGCAGUGGCUGUGGCCCAAGGUGGACACUUGGGACUCGGAGCUGGAGGAACAGUGUGACACCUGGAAGAGUCUCCACAGUAAAGCAGAAUGAUGGCUGGACUUGUGGUUCUCAACAUACAAAGAGCAUAACAGGUAUCUCUACCUGAGCAGUAACACCAAGUGGACACCCCCGGCAUGCAGUGUGGUUGAAGUGAUCAAUUAUUUCUGCUUUGUGCAAAAGGACGAGCACAACAAACCCAGAAAUGCCACACCUCCUGGUCACAAAAACACAGUGCUUUUGCCUAUUUAUCACAGGUUGAAUUCUGCCUCCCGUGCGACACCGUCCCUUCCUCAUGCAGUUCCCCAAUUUCAUCACUUUGCCGUUAGAAGAAGACUGGUGGAAGGUCUUGACUCAGUCCUAUUUUAUUCAAGAGCAGUCUUGGGUAGAGUACUACAGAUGAUGCCUUUCAAUCUGUAACAGACUGUAACAACCCCAUUAGGCUCAGUAACCCACCUUUGUUGUAAAUCAAUUUCCAACAGCCGAAUAAUAUCCUUGACUUCAUAAGGGAUUUAUUCUGUGACUUUCAAUGUAUAAGUGCAUCUGUGAUGCACAUAAAGCUGAUUUGGCGCACUUAUUUCUUAAUGCUGGUGACUGAAAAGAUUUGAUUAUAAAUAUUUUUAAACAAACAUUCAAGGAACACAGUAAUGCGGCUUCGAACAGCAGAGACGCAAGACAGCAUGACUUAGUGACUACAAAAGGUACAAACAUGAUGAUAUAACAGGAUAGUAAGCAGUAACUAUCCUGUAGUUUUGGUUGCACAUACAUCUGCUGAUCAGACACUGUGAAUGAAUUGUAUACAAAAGUAUUUUGCUGCAUCCCAGCUGUAACCUGAUUAUUAAAACGCCAGUGAUCACCAGUACGAAUCCUGCACUGACUUAUGCUGUACUAACACUUAUAAAGUCAACAAGCAAAUCAAUUAAAUUAGUGCAGCAUGUUCUGACUGAAUGACAGAUUAGUGUCUGUCACUUUUCAGCAGAGAUUAUCACCUCAUCCUGUACAUUUAUUUAGAACAACCAAAAGUCAAGAGGAGCGAAAUUCAUCUGAAGACCUGCACUUGUUGAUCUGGUGGCUGAGAAAUCUGGAAAACCAUCAGCUAACCUGCUGACUUGAGCAGCAACAUCCAAUUUUCUGAUGUAACCAGAAGAUAUGUGAGGAAAGACUUCCAUUUCAGUCUGCUGGUCAUCGUUUAUGAUUGUAGCUAAAUGUUGGUUUUUUUUAAUUAACAAAAAGUGUGCCGUUUGUUUGACAACAAAUGGAUUUCAAAAAUACAGUCCCUCUUCUGCUGUCUACAUGGACUCUUUACCUGCACUGAAUCAAAGACUCGUCAAAUGCCACUGAUCAGAAAGCUACUAAAAAUUUUGACCCUUGCCACAGAG